rnacentral:tRNA from 1 species
GGGUGGGUGGCGAAACUGGCAGACGCAGCGGACUUAAAAUCCGCAGGCCGAAAGGUCAUGAGGGUUCGAGUCCCUCCCCACUCA